UGUGUGAGUAGGUGAAAAUUGGCCCUAGGGGCAUUUUGGUCUUUUGACCUUUAAUGAUAUGCUUUGAUAAAAAUGGAUUUUUAAGGAAAGAGAAAAUUGAUUUUCUGGGUUCUACUCCCUGUUACCCGUCCCUCUCUCUAUCUCUCUAAACCUAUCUUUUUCAACUUUGAUUUUGGAAAGAAAUUGCUUGAAUUGGAGCUUCAAAUUUGUGGGUUUUUGAGCUUGGAAUUGAAGGGAGUUCUAGCUAUAUUUGAGGAUUACCGGCACCUGAUCAGGAGCACCCAGGGGUUUGGAAUCUCUGUUAUUGCGGGACAACAGGAAAGGGUAAGUCAGUGGCUGAUCAACCAUGAGUUUGAGGAGC